CACAUACAAAGAGUCAGAACUGACUCUCUUAUCAGUGAUCAAUGGGCAGCUGAAAACUACUCCUCUAUUAACAAGUAACAUUUUCAAAGAGGCUCCGGAAAAACAAGUGUUUCUAUGACUGGCAUCACUACAGCAGGGCUGCUGGAGGUCUUUACUUUCCCAACUGAGCAUCACGGGCAACUUUGGGCAUAGACAGCCCAGGAACCAGGAAGGAAGAAAAAAGCCAUGGCAAAAAGGCUGAGGAACAAGAGGAGUGCCCAGGCAAGACCUGGUGAGGGGAGGCGAGGGAAAAACCAAUGUGAAGUCAAAUUCAAGACAGCCAGAAGCAGACACUCGUCACAGGGAAGAACUGGUGACACACCAGGGUGUUCCUACCUACACUGCUGCUCCCCAUAGCCCCCAGAUGGUACAGGGAUAGCCAACUUAGAGAGAAAUUCACAUCCUCCAGUCACAGGAAAAAAUGCUGCUGGAAGAGUGGUGCAUACAGCCAGAAGAACUAAAGGCUCGCAGACUAAAGAAACCCUAACAGCUACUUGACUUCCACUACUUGCCUUUUGUGUACACCCAGGACCAGCAGCAACA
rnacentral:lncRNA from 1 species